AAUCAAAAAUCAAUUUAGGUAUGAGCUUUUUGUGUGCAAGCACACUUCUUCAGAUACCUGAAGAAUCUGGUAUUUGAAGAAGUGUGCAUGCACACGAAAGCUCAUACCAAUAACUAACUUAGCUGG
rnacentral:miRNA from 1 species